GACGAACCGAGCGAACGUUGUUCGGAAUCACUGGGCUUAAAGGGCGCGUAGGCGGGUGCUCAAGUCCGUGGUGAAAUCCUCCGGCUCAACCGGAGAACUGCCUCGGAUACUGGGUGCCUCGAGGGUGGUAGGGGUAUGCGGAACUAUCGGUGGAGCGGUGAAAUGCGUUGAUAUCGAUAGGAACUCCGGUGGCGAAAGGCGGCAUACUGGACCACCUCUGACGCUGAGGCGCGGAAAGCCAGGGGAGGCAAACGGG
rnacentral:rRNA from 1 species